rnacentral:rRNA from 1 species
UACGUAGGGCGCAAGCGUUGUCCGGAAUUAUUGGGCGUAAAGAGCUCGUAGGCGGUUUGUCGCGUCUGCUGUGAAAACCUAAGGCUCAACCUUGGGCUUGCAGUGGGUACGGGCAGACUAGAGUGCGGUAGGGGAGACUGGAAUUCCUGGUGUAGCGGUGAAAUGCGCAGAUAUCAGGAGGAACACCGGUGGCGAAGGCGGGGCUCUGGGCCGUAACCGACGCUGAGGAGCGAAAGCAUGGGGAGCGAACAGG